rnacentral:rRNA from 1 species
UAGAAUGAACCGGCGAGUUACGAUCCCGUGCAAGGUUAAGCAGAAGAUGCGGAGCCGCAGCGAAAGCGAGUCUGAAUAGGGCGAAUUGAGUACGUGGUCGUAGACCCGAAACCAGGUGAUCUACCCAUGUCCAGGGUGAAGUUCAGGUAACACUGAAUGGAGGCCCGAACCCACGCACGUUGAAAAGUGCGGGGAUGAGGUGUGGGUAGGGGUGAAAUGCCAAUCGAACCUGGAGAUAGCUGGUUCUCUCCGAAAUAGCUUUAGGGCUAGCCUCAAGGUAAGAGUCUCGGAGGUAGAGCACUGAUUGGACUAGGGGCCCCUACCGGGUUACCGAAUUCAGUCAAACUCCGAAUGCCGAUGACUUAUCCUUGGGAGUCAGACUGCGAGUGAUAAGAUCCGUAGUCGAAAGGGAAACAGCCCAGACCGCCAGCUAAGGUCCCAAAGUAUACGUUAAGUGGAAAAGGAUGUGGAGUUGCUUAGACAACCAGGAUGUUGGCUUAGAAGCAGCCACCAUUUAAAGAGUGCGUAAUAGCUCACUGGUCGAGUGACUCUGCGCCGAAAAUGUACCGGGGCUAAACGUAUCACCGAAGCUGCGGACUGUUCUUCGAACAGUGGUAGGAGAGCGUUCUAAGGGCUGUGAAGCAAGACCGGAAGGACUUGUGGAGCGCUUAGAAGUGAGAAUGCCGGUAUGAGUAGCGAAAGAGGGGUGAGAAUCCCCUCCACCGAAUGCCUAAGGUUUCCUGAGGAAGGCUCGUCCGCUCAGGGUUAGUCGGGACCUAAGCCGAGGCCGAAAGGCGUAGGCGAUGGACAACAGGUUGAUAUUCCUGUACCACCUCCUCACCAUUUGAGCAAUGGGGGGACGCAGGAGGAUAGGGUAAGCGCGGUAUUGGAUAUCCGCGUCCAAGCAGUUAGGCUGGGAAAUAGGCAAAUCCGUUUCCCGUGAAGGCUGAGCUGUGAUGGCGAGCGAAUUAUAGUAGCGAAGUUCCUGAUUCCACACUGCCAAGAAAAGCCUCUAGCGAGGUGAGAGGUGCCCGUACCGCAAACCGACACAGGUAGGCGAGGAGAGAAUCCUAAGGUGAUCGAGAGAACUCUCGUUAAGGAACUCGGCAAAAUGACCCCGUAACUUCGGGAGAAGGGGUGCUCUGUUAGGGUGCAAGCCCGAGAGAGCCGCAGUGAAUAGGCCCAGGCGACUGUUUAGCAAAAACACAGGUCUCUGCGAAGCCGUAAGGCGAAGUAUAGGGGCUGACGCCUGCCCGGUGCUGGAAGGUUAAGAGGAGCGCUUAGCGUAAGCGAAGGUGCGAAUUGAAGCCCCAGUAAACGGCGGCCGUAACUAUAACGGUCCUAAGGUAGCGAAAUUCCUUGUCGGGUAAGUUCCGACCCGCACGAAAGGCGCAACGAUCUGGGCACUGUCUCAACGAGAGACUCGGUGAAAUUAUAGUACCUGUGAAGAUGCAGGUUACCCGCGACAGGACGGAAAGACCCCGUGGAGCUUUACUGCAGCCUGAUAUUGAAUGUUGGUACAGCUUGUACAGGAUAGGUAGGAGCCUUGGAAACCGGAGCGCCAGCUUCGGUGGAGGCAUCGGUGGGAUACUACCCUGGCUGUAUUGACCUUCUAACCCGCCGCCCUUAUCGGGCGGGGAGACAGUGUCAGGUGGGCAGUUUGACUGGGGCGGUCGCC